GGCUUUAUCAAAGUGAGAAGGGCCAUUGACCAAGGAAAGGGCUUACAAAAACACUAGUUGAACUAAACGAAUAGGAUAAAGACGUGUCUCAAAGCUUGAUCAAUGAAUUCAUUUUCAUUAAUAUCCUCUAAAGAGUUGACUUUUUUGCUUUCCUAAUCGAGAUCAGAAACUGAGAAGCGAAUUGUUGAUCAUAUUUGAAAGGAAGGAGAAUGAAAGGCAGGAAAAAUAGAUCAGAACAAAAGCGCAUUUGUGAUUGGAAUUAUAGGUACAGUACUCACGCUCUCUGCUUAUUCCCAGACUCUGGUUUCUCCAACUCAAUGCAUUACGGUUGGUUUGCUUGUUCUAAUCUUUGGUCUCCUUGUUAGGGAAGGUCUAAUCUCUCUUUAGUUAUUUACCUAUGCUUUCAUGCUCCCUAUGUCUCUAUAUUUGUACUGAUAUUACUAAUUUUCUUCAGAGAAAAAGUAAUUUGUUUUUAUUUAUGGUAUAUUUGAUCUGUCGGAUUAGAUAGUUAGACCUGUGCAUCAUUAAGAAUGAGAGAUUUGUCUAGUUCUCGUUCAGUUACGCUCAUGCCUUGAUGAUUUGGAACAUUGGGAUAUACUUAUUAAGUAUUUUACUUCUGGAUAAUUGAAUGAUUUGCUUAUAUUUAAGGCGCAGAGUGGUUUAAUGUGUUGGAUUGAAUUGGUAAGCCAUGAUUUGAAAAAUAAAGAUAUACUGGUAAUUCGUCUAUGACUAGGGUACUUGAGAGAAAAGUAAUUGCCACGCGUUUUUCAUAACGAGAAAUUAUCACAAGUGUAUGGUGUCAAAUUUUGUACUAUAGUAUUGAAGUAAAAGUGUGGAACUCACAGAGAUUGUAAUUUAAUUCUCACUAAGUACUAUAAUUGUGUAAUUUCUACUUUAUUCAAAUGAAUAGAUGAUUGAAUCAAUGAA
rnacentral:lncRNA from 1 species